AUUAGACCCGGCCGUGCUCCAGGCCCGCGGAGCCCCGCUCCGGCUGCAGCGGCGGCGAUGGGGAAGGGGGCACCGGGGGCCAGGUGAGUCUGGGGCGCCGGCCGCCGGCAGGUGCGCGGGGCCGGCCUGGGGCACCGAGACGCCUCUCUGCAGCCGCCGGCCCCGAGCUUGGCGCAACCCGGCCGCGCCGCCCCGGGCGCAGCCUCCUCCCGGCUGGACUGUCCCGCGGCGAACAGAGCCCCGACUUCCCGCUCCCUUCUGCUGGCUCUUGCUUUCUCCCUCCUGUCUCCCGCGCCUCGGCUUUCCUUAGAGGGUGGAGAGGGGCCGGCGAGGAAGCGGCGGUGCUGUUUAGUCCUUGACCGAGUGUUCGACCCCGCUGCCGCGAGGCCCCUCCGGCCUGGAGGGCGGCAUGGGCGGCGGCGGCCGCGGAGCCAUGGAGCGGGAGGGUAGCGGAGGGGAGCUGGGCGGAGGCGGCGGGGGCCGGGCCCGGGCGCGCUCUCCUGCCCUCCCUGGCGGUUCCCUGUGCCUGAAGACGCGGCGCCCGGAGCCCGCGAUCUGUCGCGAGGCGCAGAAGCUCCGCGGCCCACGUGCGACCGAGCCGCGUUUGUUUAUGGCGGACCCGCCUUCGGGCGGAGCACUGGGCCGCCGAGGCCCAGGGAGGGGGGGGCGGGGGGGGGGGGGGACCGCGGCGGGGGGGGGGGCGGCGAAUCUCGCCUCCCGACCCCGCCGCGGCCCCGGAGUCACAGGCGCGCCUCCGCGCCGCUGCCUCCAGCGACUCUCCCAGGAGAGACCCGCGCGCUCCCGGGCUCGAGGAAGUCGCGCCUGA
rnacentral:lncRNA from 1 species